GGGUCUGUGGGGUAGCUUGGAUUAUCCGUUCGGUCUUCGGAGCCGACAACCUGGGUUCGAAUCCCAGCAGACCCA
rnacentral:tRNA from 1 species